UCGAGAAUUUUUCUCAAUGGGCGCAAGCCUGAAGGAGCGACGCCGCGUGGGGGAUGAAGGGCUUCGGCUCGUAAACCCCUGUCAUUUGUGAACAAACCUCGCGGUUGAACAAACCGUGGGCUGAUUGUAGCGAAAGAGGAAGGGACGGCUAACUCUGUGCCAGCAGCCGCGGUAAUACAGAGGUCCCAAGCGUUGUUCGGAUUCACUGGGCGUAAAGGGUGCGUAGGUGGUCGGGUAAGUUCGGUGUGAAAUCUCCAGGCUUAACUUGGAAACGGCAUCGAAAACUACUUGGCUAGAGGAUCGGAAGGGAGACUGGAAUUCUCGGUGUAGCAGUGAAAUGCGUAGAUAUCGAGAGGAACACCAGUGGCGAAGGCGAGUCUCUGGACGAUUCCUGACGCUGAGGCACGAAAGCUAGGGGAGCAAACAG
rnacentral:rRNA from 1 species